rnacentral:rRNA from 1 species
AGUGAACGCUGGCGGUAGGCCUAACACAUGCAAGUCGAACGGCAGCACAGUAAGAGCUUGCUCUUACGGGUGGCGAGUGGCGGACGGGUGAGGAAUACAUCGGAAUCUACUUUUUCGUGGGGGAUAACGUAGGGAAACUUACGCUAAUACCGCAUACGACCUACGGGUGAAAGCAGGGGAUCUUCGGACCUUGCGCGAUUGAAUGAGCCGAUGUCGGAUUAGCUAGUUGGCGGGGUAUAGGCCCACCAAGGCGACGAUCCGUAGCUGGUCUGAGAGGAUGAUCAGCCACACUGGAACUGAGACACGGUCCAGACUCCUACGGGAGGCAGCAGUGGGGAAUAUUGGACAAUGGGCGCAAGCCUGAUCCAGCCAUACCGCGUGGGUGAAGAAGGCCUUCGGGUUGUAAAGCCCUUUUGUUGGGAAAGAAAAGCAGCAGGUUAAUACCCCGCUGUUCUGACGGUACCCAAAGAAUAGGCACCGGCUAACUUCGUG